rnacentral:rRNA from 1 species
UCCUACGGGGGGCAGCAGUAGGGAAUUUUCGUCAAUGGGCGCAAGCCUGAACGAGCAAUGCCGCGUGAACGAGGAAGGUCUUCGGAUCGUAAAGUUCUGUUGAAGGGGAAAAAGAGCGGAGAGAGGAAAUGGUCUCCGAUUGAUAUUACCCUUCGAGGAAGUCACGGCUAACUACGCGCCAGCAGCCGCGGUAAUACGUAGGUGGCGAGCGUUAUCCGGAAUGAUUGGGCGUAAAGGGUGCGUAGGCGGCCUGCUAAGUCUGGAGUGAAAGGUACCGGCUCAACCGGUACAGGCUCUGGAAACUG